UACGGGGGGGAGCAAGCGUUGUUCGGAUUUACUGGGCGUAAAGGGCGCGUAGGCGGUCAGUGCAAGUCAGUUGUGAAAUCUCCGGGCUUAACUCGGAACGGUCAACUGAUACUGCUCGACUAGAGUGCGGAAGGGGGCAACUGGAAUUCUUGGUGUAGCGGUGAAAUGCGUAGAUAUCAGGAGGAAUACCGGUGGCGAAGGCGGCAUCCUGGACCGGCAUUGACGCUGAGGAGCGAAAGCUAGGGGAGCAAACGGG
rnacentral:rRNA from 1 species